rnacentral:tRNA from 1 species
GGCGGCGUAGCUCAGUUGGUUAGAGCACACGGUUCAUACCCGUGACGUCGGUGGUUCGAAUCCACCCGCCGCUACCA